UACGUAGGCAGCGAGCGUUGUUCGGAAUACUGGGCGUAAAGCGUGCGCAGGCGGUUAUGUAAGACAGAUGUGAAAUGCCCGGGCUUAACCUGGGAACUGCAUUUGUGACUGCAUGGCUAGAGUUUGGCAGAGGGGGGUAGAAUUCCACGUGUAGCAGUGAAAUGACGUAGAUAUGUGGAGGAACACCGAUGGCGAAGGCAGCCCCCUGGGUCAAGACUGACGCUCAUGCACGAAAGCGUGGG
rnacentral:rRNA from 1 species